rnacentral:misc_RNA from 1 species
AAAUGGCGAAGGGCCAACAGUUUUGAUUGUUAAGGAUAAAGAAGACUGCAUAUAUGGAGGUUAUGCUUCUCAGCCUUGGGAAAGGCAUGGCGAUUUCUAUGGAGACAUGAAGUCUUCUCUCUUUCAGCUGUAUCCUAAAGCUUCAAUCUUCAAGCCCACUGGAGCAAACAACAAUAUACAAUGGGUAUGUUUAUAUUUAUGUGCAUCACUUGCAAAAAAGAUGCUUGUAAAUUAUAUCUUUAAGGAUCUCUGGUUGCGGCUGUUUCAUAUCAGAUUUGCUAGUAAUAAAAUACUUACUGGAGGAAGGAAAAAAGAAAAGAACGUUUAUGGGGUUAGUAAUAGCAAUAUUUCAUUCACCUAGGAUCUGUUCAAGAGUGUUCAAUACAAUAAGAAUGCUAUGAAUUAUGUACACUAAAUAUAACCGUGUGGACUCUAAAAACAUGCUUUUGGAUUCUUGCAUAGCAAUGGAUAAGGAAAUCUUGUUAAAGUUUGUUCCCUUAAAAUUCAUGCAAAUGUUUAAUCAUUAACGAUAUCAAGGUUUAAAUUUAGAAGAAAAUGAUCAAAUUAAGUUAUGCAAGGUUUUAAUUCUUGACUUGGUCACUGUGGAAGUGGAAAUAUUUGGGACCUUCUAACCUGGUACAAGUGAGUUUUAUCACUGAAGCCAUUUUUGGUAUGGGCUUAAAGGGGGUGAAACGUGACGACCAUGACCUAGAGAUUAAAGUUGGUUUAAGGAUAAAGUUUGAAAUAAAAAGGUGAAUUUACAUAUAUUAGGCACUAUAAAAAUUUUAUGGUGGGGAAAAUAGGCAUUUUCUUUGAUAUUUGCAUAUUAGUAAGGAAGGUCAUUCAAACCUACAAGAUGUUCUGCUUUCUCUCUCCCUAUUGCAAUCUCUUUUUCUUUUAU